rnacentral:rRNA from 1 species
AAAACUUUCAACAACGGAUCUCUUGGUUCUGGCAUCGAUGAAGAACGCAGCGAAAUGCGAUAAGUAAUGUGAAUUGCAGAAUUCAGUGAAUCAUCGAAUCUUUGAACGCACAUUGCGCCCUCUGGUAUUCCGGGGGNCAUGCCUGUUCGAGCGUC